AACGAACGCUGGCGGCAUGCCUAACACAUGCCAGUCGAACGAGACCUUCGGGUCUAGUGGCGCACGGGUGCGUAACGCGUGGGAACCUGCCCUUAGGUUCGGAAAAACUCCCCGAAAGGGGUGCUAAUACCGGAUAAUGUCUUCGGACCAAAGAUUUAUCGCCUUUGGAUGGGCCCGCGUUGGAUUAGCUAGUUGGUAGGGUAAAAGCCUACCAAGGCGACGAUCCAUAGCUGGUCUGAGAGGAUGAUCAGCCACACUGGGACUGAGACACGGCCCAGACUCCUACGGGAGGCAGCAGUGGGGAAUAUUGGACAAUGGGCGAAAGCCUGAUCCAGCAAUGCCGCGUGAGUGAUGAAGGCCUUAGGGUUGUAAAGCUCUUUUACCCGGGAUGAUAAUGACAGUACCGGGAGAAUAAGCUCCGGCUAACUCCGUG
rnacentral:rRNA from 1 species